rnacentral:rRNA from 1 species
AUUAAAAGGACGCGGUAUUCUGACCGUGAUAAUGUAGCAUAAUCAUUCGCCAUUUAAUUGAUGGAUAGUAUGAAUGGUAUAACGAGUACAACACUGUCUCAAAUGGAAACUUAUAAAAUUUAGAGUAAUAGUAAAGAUACUAUUUAAAACUGUAAGACGAGAAGACCCUAUAGAGCUUAACUAUAACUCUUUCUAGACAUAAUUUAUUAUUUAUAGAGAGAUAGGUAGUUUAGUUGGGGCGACUGCUUUCUACAAAAAACGAAAGUAAACAAAAAUUAAUUAUUUAAUUUACUGUAUAAUUAAUAGAUUUAACAGUUAUAAAAAUAGGUAAUAAUGACCCGUUAUUUAUAAAUAACAAUAAUAACGAUCAAUAAAUAAAAGCUACCUUAGGGAUAACAGGAUAAUUUUGUGCUAGGAG